GAGGAACUCAAAAACCAGCCGAAUUGCAGUUUAAUAACAUUAGUGUAAUUAAUCAUGUUCUGGAGAUCCGAUUCUAUUGGGCUGGAAAAGGGACAACUAGAAUUCCUGAUAGAGGAGUUUAUGGUCCACUUAUAUCAGCUAUUUCUGUUUAUUCUGAUCUUAAAUAUUGUUCAAUCCGCGAAAGUGGUAAAAAGAAAAUUGUAGCAAUUGCUGUUGGCAUUGCGGUUGGAUUAUUAUGCCUUGCUACAGUCAUUAUAGUGGGACUUC
rnacentral:misc_RNA from 1 species